rnacentral:rRNA from 1 species
GACGUAGGGCGCGAGCGUUGUCCGGAUUUAUUGGGCGUAAAGAGCUCGUAGGCGGCUUGUCGCGUCGAAUGUGAAAACCCACAGCUCAACCGUGGGCUUGCAUUCGAUACGGGCAGGCUAGAGUUCGGUAGGGGAGACUGGAAUUCCUGGUGUAGCGGUGAAAUGCGCAGAUAUCAGGAGGAACACCGGUGGCGAAGGCGGGUCUCUGGGCCGAUACUGACGCUGAGGAGCGAAAGCGUGGGGAGCGAACAGG